UACAGCAUCUACCUCAAGACAUUGGCGAACGGGCGCAGAUUUGCUAAAAAUCGCUGCGCCCGUGAGCCUGGGUGUCGGGAAAGAGCUGCCGAAGGCACCGACCUCCAGGCCAUGCCUCGUCCCCUCCCUGCCCUGCCCAGGCAAAGGCCACCGCUGACUUCCUAACGCUCUUCCUGCUCGGCUAGAAGCUGCUCUCUGGGGUUAUUUUGCCUUCUGCAUUUAUUUAUUUAACAUCAAAAAAUGCCAUCCAUUAACCACAAUGGGUAAAAACGAUAAUAUUUUGCAUGUGCCUGGGGUUUCCUCCUCGAAGCUCUUUACAAACAGCACGAAAUCAAUUCUCACAGUGGGCUGGGCAGGUCAGUGCCUAUAUUAAUGUAUAGAUAUUCCCACAAAUGGCUGAGGAUGGCGUGCAGGAUUUACACCGGUGCAACUGAGAAGUCAGUCAAGACCUGGGGAAGGCAGCGGCUGGGUCAGGACCGGAGCUCAGGAUUACCAGAGUCCCCAGCUUAAACCCCGCUCUCGGCUUUCUGCAGAGUCCGGUUACGAGGAUGUAACCUGGGAUGAGGCGUCCCACCUAAAUCUGCUGCCGGCAUUUGAUCUACCUCCACGGAAAGCUGCAGUUAUUCCAUAAAACCAGUCACUGAGGAGCGGUGCCAAAAGGUAAUUCUGAAGCUGGAGAAACUCUGCGGAGAACCAUGGUGGAGUCAGCGGAGCAGCACGGGAAGCACUAACGUGGUCCUGCCCAGCACACGCCUCCACCGCCCCAUCGCUGCCCCGGCAUGCUGGCUUCAGGGGCAAAGCAAAACCCGCAGAACUCAGGCGAGUGUCGAAGCCCACCCAGCAAAGGGAGUACAGGAUUUUGGGGGGCGCAUCAGCAAAACGGCGAUUGCCACCCGGCCAACGGCCACAGGCCAUUGCGAGGGGCGAUGCAAUGGAGGGAGGACGAUGCUGUUGGCCUGGCCGCGCCGUGGAAGCUGGUGGUGAAAGCCCGCACCGUUAAAACGAGUCUUCAAGGGUUGUGCUGGAGCCUGAGCAUUCCUUGGCGUCGGUUGAAGCCGCAGGGGUUUGGCAGAGCGGCCGCAGUUAUGCCCGGUCCCUCUGCAAAUAGUGUUGGCAAUUUCAGGGAGCAGAAUAACGUCCCAGCGCUGCCAAAAGCCACAGUGAUUAUCAGCAGUGUAAGUAAUCAAGUAAAAGCAUUUUUCCACAGCCGAAUGACCAGAUUGUCAAGCAUGGGAAGAGUAGUAGCUAGAAUUGAUUGCAGCUCACAUGGAUAAUUUCUACCAGAAUUACGUUAUUGUAUUGAAACAGUAAUGCAUAAUGUAUGGCCGUGCAUCUCUGCAAUAAACAUUUUACAUUUAA